AGGCAUUCUUUACUUUGUACUUC
rnacentral:snRNA from 1 species